rnacentral:lncRNA from 1 species
AUAAAUUGACUUCCUGUGCCUGACCUGCAGGUGGCGGCCAUUCUGUUUCCUGGCCAUGGCUUCACUAAUUUAGGCCUGCUGGGCUCACGGGAAGCCCUUCAAAAAAACGACUCCUUUCAGAUUAACAUGUAAAAUUUAAUUACGGAGGUCCAGGCUGAGAUGAUGUCUAAAGCCAUUUACUAAGCCCGGCGGCCUCCCCGUCCUGGGGCUAAGGAGGCCGAAGCAGAGCUUUGAUCAUUAACCGCUGAGAAAAUCUCAGCUUGCAUAUUAAGAGAAGUGGCAGCGCUUUUAACCCCUUUGGGAUGAGGACAGCGGAGAUGGAGACAGCCAAACGGAUGUAGAACCUCCUAUGAACUUCAAGAGAACAUUUCCGGGAGGAGCAGGUUGUGGCUUCCUAGGAGACCUUGGGCCUGGCUUUGCCUAUAAUCACAUUUCCCCUCCCGGGAAGGAGGGCUGGGGGGGGGGGGCGGCAGGGAGGAGGGGCUUAAACUCUACGGGCACAAACUUCUGGGACUUCUACCACCUUUGAAGCCUGUUGUAAGGCUGUCUUUCCACACAGGGCCCAGCUCUGGUUUUAAUGAUCAGAAGGCCUGAAAGGGCUGUCUUCUCACCCGGAUGGGCCCUUGGCAGACUCCUGGCCUGCCUUCCACAGCUCUCUGUCCUAUCAGGUGGGGAAGGCAGUUCUGAUGGCCAGUUUUUCCUGUGCCCUGGGUUGGGGGCAGCAGGGUGGGGAGAGGUAUCAGGUAUUUGCUCCCAGUUGGUUAGAAAACAUAUAAGAAGAUGCCUGUUUUAGCACUAUCAGGUGGCCCGCAACUGCCCCACUGCCAUUUUAGGAUUGCCAAGAUAGCUUUUAUAAGCAGAGAAAGCUACAUUUGACUCUUUCAGGGAGUCUGGGCACUGCACUACUCCUCGCCAGACCUCUGGUGUACUAAAGAUCUAAACAUUUUCUCUUUUAGAAGCUUCAAGCCUUCUUUCCCUGUGUUAGAAUUUAAUUAAGCCCAGGACUACCUGGUCUGUAAGGAAUUACCUCUGCUGCCGCCCCAGGGGUCCUCAAUUUUAGUUCCAGGACCCAUGGAAUGAAUACUGACAACACCCCCACUCCCACCCCAAACCAGCUGGCUACCUUGUUUGGGGGUUGAGAGACAGCGCAAACGGAAAUAUACCCAGCCUCCUAAAAGGGUGAUUAAACAUUUAAAAUAUCAA